rnacentral:rRNA from 1 species
CGGGUGAGUAAUGUCUGGGAAACUGCCUGAUGGAGGGGGAUAACUGCUGGAAACGGUAGCUAAUACCGCAUAACGUCGCAAGACCAAAGAGGGGGACCUUAGGGCCUCUUGCCAUCGGAUGUGCCCAGAUGGGAUUAGCUAGUAGGUGGGGUAACGGCUCACCUAGGCGACGAUCCCUAGCUGGUCUGAGAGGAUGACCAGCCACACUGGAACUGAGACACGGUCCAG